GACGAACGCUGGCGGCGCGCCUAACACAUGCAAGUCGAACGAGCGAGAGAGAGCUUGCUUUCUCAAGCGAGUGGCGAACGGGUGAGUAACGCGUGAGGAACCUGCCUCAAAGAGGGGGACAACAGUUGGAAACGACUGCUAAUACCGCAUAAGCCCACGACCCGGCCUCGGGUAGAGGGAAAAGGAGCAAUCCGCUUUGAGAUGGCCGCGCGUCCGAUUAGCUAGUUGGUGAGGUAACGGCCCACCAAGGCGACGAUCGGUAGCCGGACUGAGAGGUUGAACCGCCACAUUGGGACUGAGACACGGCCCAGACUCCUACGGGAGGCAGCAGUGGGGAAUAUUGCACAAUGGGGGAAACCCUGAUGCAGCGACGCCGCGUGGAGGAAGAAGGUCUUCGGAUUGUAAACUCCUGUUGUUGAGGAAGAUAAUGACGGUACUCAACAAGGAAGUGACGGCUAACUACGUG
rnacentral:rRNA from 1 species